GAUCCUGGCUCAGAAUGAACGCUGGCGGCGUGCUUACACAUGCAAGUCGAACGAGAAAUCUUUAGCUCGCUAGAGAAAGUAAAGUGGCGCACGGGUGAGUAACGCGUGGGUAAUCUGCCUCCGAAUCGGGGAUAACAUUGCGAAAGCGAUGCUAAUACCGGAUAAAAUCUGGUUGGCUUCGGUGAACCGGAUCAAAGGUGGUCUCUUUAUAAAAGCUACCGUUUGGAGAUGAGCCCGCGUACCAUUAGCUAGUUGGUGAGGUAAAGGCUCACCAAGGCGACGAUGGUUAGCUGGUCUGAGAGGAUGAUCAGCCACACCGGAACUGGAACACGGUCCGGACUCCUACGGGAGGCAGCAGUGAGGAAUUUUGCGCAAUGGGGGAAACCCUGACGCAGCAACGCCGCGUGAGUGAUGAAGGCUUUCGGGUCGUAAAGCUCUGUCAGGUGGGAAGAACCCACCAAGUGUUAAGACCACUUGGUGCUGACGGUACCACCGAAGGAAGCACCGGCUAACUCCGUGCCAGCAGCCGCGGUAAUACGGGGGGUGCGAGCGUUAUUCGGAAUCAUUGGGCGUAAAGGGCGCGCAGGCGGUUUUGUAAGUCAGAUGUGAAAUCCCGGGGCUUAACCCCGGAAGUGCAUAUGAAACUAUGAGACUUGAGUAUGGGAGAGGGAAGCGGAAUUCCUGGUGUAGCGGUGAAAUGCGU
rnacentral:rRNA from 1 species